rnacentral:rRNA from 1 species
CACGGAGCUUGCUCUGUGGGAUCAGUGGCGAACGGGUGAGUAACACGUGAGCAACCUGCCCCUGACUCUGGGAUAAGCGCUGGAAACGGCGUCUAAUACUGGAUAUGUUGACGUGACCGCAUGGUCUGCGUCUGGAAAGAAUUUUCGGUUGGGGAUGGGCUCCGCGGCCCUAUCAGCUUGUUGGUGAGGUAAUGGCUCACCAAGGCGUCGACGGGUAGCCGGCCUGAGAGGGUGACCGGCCACACUGGGACUGAGACACGGCCCAGACUCCUACGGGAGGCAGCAGUGGGGAAUAUUGCACAAUGGGCGCAAGCCUGAUGCAGCAACGCCGCGUGAGGGAUGACGGCCUUCGGGUUGUAAACCUCUUUUAGCAGGGAAGAAGCGAAAGUGACGGUACCUGCAGAAAAAGCGCCGGCUAACUACGUGCCAGCAGCCGCGGUAAUACGUAGGGCGCAAGCGUUAUCCGGAAUUAUUGGGCGUAAAGAGCUCGUAGGCGGUUUGUCGCGUCUGCUGUGAAAUCCGGAGGCUCAACCUCCGGCCUGCAGUGGGUACGGGCAGACUAGAGUGCGGUAGGGGAGAUUGGAAUUCCUGGUGUAGCGGUGGAAUGCGCAGAUAUCAGGAGGAACACCGAUGGCGAAGGCAGAUCUCUGGGCCGUAACUGACGCUGAGGAGCGAAAGGGUGGGGAGCAAACAGGCUUAGAUACCCUGGUAGUCCAC